rnacentral:miRNA from 1 species
UGCUUCCUUCCUGAGGGU